CACCGAGUCCGAGGUUCCGGGGUUCGCCGGAGCCUGGUGCAAAAGGGA
rfam:Streptomyces davawensis strain JCM 4913 complete genome